rnacentral:rRNA from 1 species
UACGAGGGGGGCAAGCGUUGUUCGGAAUUACUGGGCGUAAAGGGCGCGCAGGCGGCUCAGACAGUCAGAUGUGAAAGCCCCGGGCUUAACCUGGGAACUGCAUUUGAUACUACUGAGCUUGAGUACGGGAGAGGAUAGUGGAAUUCCCAGUGUAGAGGUGAAAUUCGUAGAUAUUGGGAAGAACACCGGUGGCGAAGGCGGCUAUCUGGACCGUAACUGACGCUGAGGCGCGAAAGCGUGGGGAGCAAACAGG